rnacentral:lncRNA from 1 species
ACAAGUAUAGUAAAUCUUAAGAAUUUUCUAGGCUUUCAUAAAAAAAGAAAAAAAAGAAAAAACAAAACAAAACAAAAAAUCAAGACUUUUAGUAGCAUGAAUAAAACUCAAAAGAUCUCAAACCUAAAGAGAAACCAAUCUUCUAAGGAUGAAAUUAACCUUUACUAAAAAUAACCAUCAAUUUACAAAUAUAAUAACAAAGAAAUUUAAAACCUAAGAAUUAAUAGUCUUUCAAAGAUGAGAAUUUUAAUAACAUAGCACAGUCAAAGACAUGCAUAAUAACAAGAAAAAAAAAAAAAAACUAAGAACUACCCAAUUUUUAAAGAUGUGAACUUUAAAUAUAAUAGAUAAAAACCUAAUAACACAAAAACUGAAACAAAAAAAAUUAAGUACUAAAACUAUUCAACUUUGCAAGAUCAAAUUUUGAUAGCAUGGAAAACAACCUAAUAACUCAAAACCUAAAACAAAAAUAUUAAGCACUACAAUUAUCCGACUUUGCAAGAUAAGACAUCAUUACAUUGAAUCAAUCAAACUAAUUAAUUAAAACUAUAAAAGUUCUUAAUGAUCUUGAAUGAAUUAAACUAAAAUAACACAAGCUUCAAAAUAAAAAUUUUGUUCCAUGAAACAAUUAAUCAAGUGAACUAUAAUGAAAAAUUCUGAACUAACUAAAAUGAAUUAAGAUAAAUCAAGACAAGUUUGAAAAUAACAACUUCAUCACAUAGAAGCCAAUUUACUAAAAAUGUAAGGAAUACUCAAACUAAAAGUGUGGGAUCAAACCAAAUCAAAGCAUGAACUACAACACAAUGAAUCGGUUAAAUUACUGAUCACAAAUUAUAACUCAACCUAAACUAAUAGAAUAAAUUAAAUUAAACUAAAAUGAGAAUUUAAAAAGAAAACUUACCUUCAACCAUGUAAAAUGAGCGAUUGUUAGGACGCUAUUAAUCCUUCCAAUAUGAUGCUUUAUAUGGGUUACAUGUUCUAAAAGAAAAUCUCAAGAUGUCCUCAAAGUGGCAUCUGCUUGUCAUAGUUUUUUGUUGCCCUCCAAAUUUGAUUAAAAUGUGUGGAUGUCUCCACAAAAUUUGGUAGUGCCAUAUUCUCAAAGUGACAACCUCUUUUUUUUUUUUUUUCAAAAAAAAAAAAAAAACUGAUUUGUAGUGGAUGUUCAAAGUGGUAGCCUCAUCCUCUUAAAAAAAAAAUAAAAUCUGAUGCAUGCUGAAGCUAUCUCCAAGUGGCAACCUGUGGAGAUUCCAAGUGAUUAUAGCCUGUGGAGAUGUCCUUCCUUGCAACCCGCUUUAAUCUUUCCACCAAAUUCUUAAACCACAUGUUCAUGCCCAUAUUCCAUUUAAAUAAUCCAGCCACCAUCUUCCACUAUGCAACAUACUUUAUCCAUUAAUUUUCAAUGAACUCUCAAACACCGUAUAUUCACUAUAUGCAACCAUUUCAUCCAUCGAAUUUUAAUAAAAAAAUUCAACCAUGCACACACAUAUCCAACCACUUUAUGCCUUAAUUUAAUUCAUAAAAUUACCUUAUAAGAAGCCACUUUAUGCCUUAAUUUAAUUCAUAAAAUUCAGCUUCACAUUUCCACUAACACAUCUCCAUCGAAUUCAUAUUUUUACCAAUGAAAAUUCAUGCACCUCACAUCUCCAUUAACAUGGUUGCCACUCCAUUUCUCCACUAACACAUACUAAAUCCAUUAAACCCUUGUAUUGACAUCAAUAAAUUCUCUCGACUACACUCAAACUUCCUUCUAAAGCAAUUCAAUAUUUAGAAAUAAAUAAAAAAUAAAAUAAAAAAAAGACUUGAUGGUGUGUGUUGAUGAUUAUUGAUGGUGCAUGCUGAAUAUUGAUCCUAAAAUCUAGAGACGUCGGGUUGAUCUGAGAGAAGGUGCGCUGUUGAUGAAUUCCUCCAAAAACAGAUAGGUGAUGAUUUCCAGUGGCUGUCUUUCCUGAAAAUGUUCUGGUCAUUUCUUUUCUUGUUUAUACCUUUUCUUUUUUCUUCUUCUCCCUACUCAAAAUCAGAACCCUUUCCCUUUAUCAGAUUAUUUUGUCCUAAAAAUAGCCCUUCCAUAUAUUUUCUUUCAAAAUCCUUUGUUUUCCCAUGCAGAACCCUUUGAAACUCCCACCUCCACUCUUUUCGAAUCCUCUUUCCCAUUUUCUGUCCCCACACCUUUUCAAAUUCUGGUGGAUCAUACUUCCUCAUCUCCAUGUGCCCUAGUCUUUUCCUUUUACUUGUUGCAUGGGUAUCCAUAACAUGUGUCACGUCCCAAGACCCACUCCAAGGGCGUGACGAUCAUUUCACACCUCAAACCCGAAGGCUUAAAGUAUAAUCUGACCCAAACAAUCAUAUUGUAACUGGAUGUUACCAAUUACCAAAUACCUGUUCAGAGUAGCGGAACAAAAUCUAAAAUCCUCAAAAUUCAAUUUCCAAAUAACUUCCAAAUAUCAAAUGAUCCAAAUGAACAUAACUAACAGUUAAACAAAAUCCAACAUAAAAUCCUAAGUCAAAUCCUAAUGAUGACCAUUCUUCAGCCUAGCCAUCACUCCUCACCCGAACUAAGAGUACCUGAAAAUUUUCAACAAUUGAGAAUGAGCUCACAGCCCAAUAAGGAAUAUUAAUGCAAUUCAUGGAUCAAAUAUUUUCAUUUCAAAUAGGAGAUAUCAAUUUUUUUUUCUCAUCAAAUAUCAGAGUUCCAAAAAUACUAAUAUAUUCAAAAUUCAACCAACCAAUUUCAUAUCAAAUUCAAACACUUUCACAUAAGAUUCAAUCAAAUUCAUUCAAGUUUCAUUACUCUGGUUAUCAAAUAUCAAAUGCCCAAUUAGGUGGGACUUUUCAAAUGGGUGGCUAGCCUCAAAUUGUUCCUGGUGGACGGAACCAAACACUACUAGUACUAGUAACCUCUAACCAAACCCCUAGAGGCUGGGGUCCAAAUCAAUUACAUUCCCACCAUGAAAUGUAAAGGUCAACUAUUAUAUCCCGUUGACAAGGGCCAAAUAAACCAGAGUGAUGUUUUCGUUCAAGUAUUCAAAUUUACACAACAUAAUAUCUCCAUAUUUUGUGUCAUAAAUAAAACAAAAUAUUCCAACAUAACAUUUAGUGCAAAACAAUUUGAUCCAUGCAUGGUAACAAAAUAUCAUUUUCUUUUCCACAAUUCAAAAUAACAUAUAAGAUAAUUUAAUUUUAUAAAUAUUACAUUAACUUCCCUUACCUCAAAAGAAGUCCUUGAAAGCUUGGGAGAAGAAUAAUUCUGAAAAAAUAUAAUCUACUCUUCACCUAAUAUAACAUAAGAGAAACAAUUAUUACUAUUUAUUUAUAAUUUAACUAAUCUAUUCCUUAUUUAAAUAAAACUAAUAAAUUUCCAAUUUGUUUCUAAUAACACAUUACUAAUUUAAUUAAAUUACAAUUUUAUUUCAUUAUAAAAUUCUAUGUAUAUAUAUAUAUAUAUAUAUAUAUAUAUAUAUAUAUAUAUAUAUAUAUAUUUUUUUUUUUGCUAAAUCUCUCAUUCUAUUUAAAAAAAAUACCAUUAUUACUAUUAUCUUAUUCAUUAAUCUAAAACUAAAUAUUAUUAUUUUAAAUUAACCAAUUCAAAAGCCACUAAACCAUUACCUAGUUGUCUCGGGUACACCAAACCCCCAAACCAAAAAGCAAGUUUUUUUUUUUUUCCAUUGCCAUCAUUAUAUUCAUUAUAUAUAUAUAUAUAUAUAUAUAUAUAUAUUAAAGGCUUCCAUUUGCUUCCAGUACACGUACGCCCCCCAUUUUAUUUAUUUUUUAUUUUUUAUUUUCUUCCUUCCUUCCUUCCAGUGCUGUGCACACGCGUUUUCCUUUUUUUUUUUUUUUUUUUUUAUUUAACCCUAACCUAAAAUCGAAAUAUUCCAAGCAAUUUUUUUUUUUUUUAAUAAAACUUAAGAUCUCCCAAAUUCCAAUACUAAAAUCAAAAUAUUAAAUUUUCACUAUUUGAUAUUAAAACGAAUUAAAAAAAUAAUCUAACCCUAAUCUAGAUUUGGGGUUUUCCAAAAAAAAAUAUAUCUAAUGCGUUUGAAAUUAAUCAAUGAAUCUAAAAUAUUAAACUAGGGGUUAGAAUCUUACCUAUAGAGAUCUGUUCUUCAACCCUGAAAUCUGACUCCAACCCUACGUUCUCUGGAAUUCUGCGAACAGGAACUCUAUUCAGAAAAAAAGGGAAAUAAUAAAAUUUCUAAUUUAUACCUAAGGUAUUUAUUCGUAAAAUUACACUUUUACCCCUCUUUCACUUUAUUAAAUUAAUUAAUUAACUAAUUAAAUUAUUAAUAACAAUUUCCUAAAUUACCCUUAAAAGAAAAUGUCUGGGCGUUACAUCCUCCCCUCCUUAACAAAAGUUUAGUCCUCUAAACUUGACAUACCUGAGUCUUGGAAUAAUUGAGGAUGUUUUUCUCUCAUCUCUUAUUCUAACUCCCAAGUAGCCUCUCGGAUACUAUGAUUGCUCCACUGGACCUUUACCAACUUGACAACAGCAUGUCGUAGUACCUUAUCCAUCACAUCCACAAUUUGAACGGGUACCUCUUCAUAGGUCAAGUCCUCAAAAAUUUGAAUAGGCUCCAACUCCACAACAUGAGAAGGAUCAUAAAUAUACUUCCUUAGAGUCGAAACAUGAAACACAUUAUGAACCUCAGACAGGCUUGGGGGCAAGGCUACUUUAUAUGCCAAAGUGCCUACUCUUUCUAAUAUUUCAAACGGACCCACAAAACGAGGACUAAGUUUUCCUUUUCUCCCAAAUCUCAUCACAGACUUCAUAGGUGAAACUUUCAAGAACACAUGAUCACCCACCUCAAACUCCAAAUCUCGCCUACGAUGAUUAGCAUAACUCUUAUGUCUACUUUGAGCUGCUUUUAAUCUUUCCUUAAUCAAAGCAACCUUUUCAACAGUCAACUGCACAAGUUCAGGCCCUAAAAGUUUCCUUUCUCCAACAUCAUUCCAACAAAUAGGAGAUCGACAUUUCCUACCAUAUAAUGCCUCAAAAGGUGUCAUCCCAAUGCUAGCUUGAAAACUAUUGUUAUAGGCAAACUCUACUAAAGGUAAAUGAUCAUCCCAAUUACCUUGCAGGUCCAAAAUACAAGCUCUCAACAAGUCUUCCAAAACCUGAAUUACCCUUUCUGAUUGGCCAUCAGUUUGAGGAUGGAAAGCAGUAUUAAAACUCAACUUAGUGCCCAAAGCUUUUUGUAGACUAUGCCAGAAUCUAGAAGUGAAACGAGGAUCUCUGUCAGACACUAUAGAAACUGGUACUCCAUGCAUUCUCACAAUCUCCUUCACAUAAAGAGAAGCUAAACGAUCUAAAGAAAAGUUGACUUUCAUAGGCAAAAAGUGAGCAGACUUUGUCAACCGAUCAACAAUCACCCAAAUAGCAUUAUUACCCCCUAAGGUUCUUGGCAAUCCUAUCACAAAAUCCAUGGUAAUAUGCUCCCACUUCCACUCAGGAAUAGCAAGUGGCUGCAAAGACCCUGCUGGUCGCUGAUGUUCAGCCUUCACCUGUUGACACACUAAACACUGAGCCACAAAUUGUGCAAUAUCACGCUUCAUACCUGACCACCAAUAGUUUUGCCUCAAAUCCUUGUACAUCUUUGUCCCUCCUGGGUGGAUUGCAAACUUGGAACAAUGAGCUUCCUCUAAAAGCUCCCUCCUUAAGUCUUCAUCAUUUGGGACACAAAGUCUAGUCCCAAAUCUCAAGAUCUCAUCAUCUGACAAAACAAAAUCAGGCUUACUGCCCCUCUUAACUUCCUCCAUAACUUGCACUAAUCGGGAAUCAUUCUUUUGUAGGGUCUUAAUUCUCCCAACUAAGUCUGGUUGUACUCUGAAAUUUGCUACAAGUGCUCCUAAGCCCAUAACUCGAAAGUGGACUUGUAAACUCCUCAACUCUUCAAGUAACUGCCUUUGACAGCCUCUAAUAGCUGCUAGAGAACCAACUGACUUCCUACUCAAGGCAUUAGCUACAACAUUCGCCUUCCCAGGAUGAUACUGAAUAACACAAUCAUAGUCCUUAAGUAGUUCUAUCCAUCUUCUCUGUCUCAUGUUCAACUCCUUUUGGGAAAAUAAAUACUUCAAACUCUUAUGAUCUGUGAAUAUCUCACAAGUUUCACCAAAAAGAAAAUGUCUCCAGAUCUUAAGUGCAAAAACCACAACAGCUAACUUCAAAUCAUGAGUAGGGUAAUUCUUUUCAUAAGGCUUCAACUGUCUAGAAGCAUAAGCUACAACUCUCCCAUGCUGCAUAAGAACACAACCUAAACCCUGAUGAGAAGCAUCACUAUACACCACAAAUCCUCCUGAACCUGAAGGGAUAGUCAAAAUAGGAGCUGACACUAAUCUAUUCUUCAACUCUUGGAAGCUACAUUCACAAUCAUCAGACCACUCAAACUUAACUCCCUUCUGUGUCAACUUAGUUAAAGGUAGGGCAAUCUUAGAGAACCCUUCUAUAAACCGCCUAUAGUAACCAGCAAGUCCCAAGAAACUUCGAAUCUCAGUCACAGUACUAGGUCUUCUCCAAUUAGCUACAACAUCUACCUUGCCAGGGUCAACUGAGAUGCCAUCAUUGCUUACCACAUGCCCAAGGAAAGAAAUUCGGUCUAACCAAAACUCACACUUCUUCAGUUUAGCAUACAACUGCUUAUCUCUGAGGGUCUGUAAUACAAUACUCAAAUGACCCUCAUGCUCCUCUCUACUUCUUGAGUAUACCAAGAUGUCAUCUAUAAAAACCACCACAAACUGAUCUAAAUAGGGUUUGAAUACCCUAUUCAUCAAGUCCAUAAAAGCAGCAGGUGCAUUAGUCAAAUCAAAAGGCAUAACAAGAAACUCAUAGUGCCCAUACCUAGUUCAAAAAGCAGUCUUGGGUACAUCUUCCCCUCUAACCCUCAACUGGUGAUAACCCGAUCGAAGAUCUAUCUUAGAGAACACACAAGCACCUUGUAGCUGAUCAAACAAAUCAUCAAUCCGAGGAAGGGGAUACUUGUUCCUCACUGUCACCUUAUUCAACUCCCUAUAGUCAAUGCAAAGUCUCAUUGAGCCAUCCUUCUUUUUCACAAAUAGAACAGGAGCUCCCCAAGGUGAAACACUAGGCCUGAUAAAACCCUUGUCUAAUAACUCUUGAAGCUGAACUUUCAACUCCUUAAGCUCCACAGGUGCCAUCCUGUAUGGGGCCUUAGACAUAAGACCUGUUCCUGGUACCAGAUCAAUGGUGAACUCCACCUCUCUCUCUGGCAAGCCAGACAAAUCCUCUGGAAAGACAUCAGGAUACUCUCUUACUAUGGGUAUGUCUUCCAACUUCAAAUCACUUUCAUUACUCACCACACUAGCCAAAAAUCCUUGGCAACCCUUCUUAAGCAAGCUACUAGCACGCAAGGCUGAGAUCAUACGCAGUGGUCUGUCCACAUGCUUCCCUUCAAAGCUAAACUUAGGCUGACCAGGAAUACUAAAUGUCACUCUUUUCUCAAAACAGUCAACAGAGGCAUGGUAGGAAGCUAACCAAUCCAUCCCCAAAAUCACAUCAAAAUCCUGAAGGUCAAGGAGUACUAAGUCAACUGGCAUUUCCCUAUAACCAAUCAUCACAAUACAAUUUCUAAGCAUUCUACUGGCCACAACAGAAUCUCCCAUAGGAGUAGCAACAAUCAAAUCAAAGUCCAUGCUAACAACAGGCAAACCCAACAAACCAGCAAAAGAUACUGAAACAAAAGAGUGUGUUGAUCCAGGAUCAAUCAAGACUCUAGCAAAUAAGGUGUGGAUUCGGAGAGUACCUGUCACCACAUCAGAAGUGGCCUGAGCAUCUCGAUGAGUCAUAGCAAACACCCGUACUUGGGCUUUGGGUUUCUGUUUAUCCUCCUUAUUUUCCUCUUUAGGCUUCCUAGUGAUGAACUUCCUAUUCUCUGGACAAUCUCUGAUCAAAUGUCCUUGCUUCCCACAACCAAAGCAAGCUCCAGUCUCUCUAUAGCAUGGCCUACCCCCAUGCUUCUUACCACAAGUAGGACAAGCCCCAUCUAAAUUCUGCGCUGCCUUCCCUUUAUUCUGAUUUCUUCCUGAUGUAGACCUUCGCUGUGCUUGAUUACCAUGAGCACCAUCACUCCUAUUUCGCUUCCUUUGCUGUUCUCUAUACUGAUGAAGCUCCUCAUUAUCUUUCUCUGCUAUAAGGGCUCUAUCAACAACCUCUGAAUAGACACCAAGCUUCAGAAUAGAUAUCUUGUUCUUCAAAUAAGGCUUCAAUCCAUCCUGAAACUUUAAUGACUUUUCCUCCUCUGUAGCAAUCAACUGUGGGGAAAAACGUGAUAACUCUGUAAAUUUGGCCUCAUACUGAGUCACAGUCACAUCCCCCUGUUCCAAACGAAUAAACUCUCCCACCUUCUGCCGCCUAACACUGUCAGGGAAAUACUUCUUGUAGAAAGCCUCCCUAAAUUGUCUCCAUGUUAUGGGUCCCUGAUCCUCCAAAAGUCUCCUAGUCAUACGCCACCAAUGAUCUGCCUCUUUAUCUAACAUAAAAGCUGCAUAAGAGGCUUUUUGCUCCUCAGAGCAAUCUAUGACACCAAAGAAUUUCUCCAUCUUAAGGAUCCAAGCCUCUGCCUCUGUGGGAUCUGUAGCACCAGAAAAGUAAGGAGGACCAAUUUCUUGAAGUCAUCAAAAGAGCUACCCCUAGAAGAUGAAGACUGUCCCUGGACAUUAGUCACAACAGCUCGAGCUUGGCGUUCAACUAAACCAGCUAGUGUCCCAAGAUACCUAUAGAUCCCUUCUGCACUCACGGGAGGCAAACCCUCAACUGGAGGUACAUUGUCAUUAACCUGACUGUUUUGGGAAGAUGCAGGUCUCCUUGGUGGCAUGGUGUCCUAUAAAGCAAUAGGUGUAACUAAAUUAGUCACUAAGAAGUCAAAUAAGCAAAUCAGAAUUGUAAGGAAUAAAAGGAAUCAGACUAGAUGAAGUUGAAACUUAAACUAAUACGUCACUCAUCUAUUCCCAAAGGUACACUAAACAAGUUCCCAUCAAGAUCACAACCUAGUGCUCUGAUACCACUCUGUCACGCCCCAAGACCCACUCCAAGGGCGUGACGGUCAUUUCACACCUCAAACCCGAAGGCUUAAAGUAUAAUCUGACCCAAACAAUCAUAUUGUAACUGGAUGUUACCAAUUACCAAAUACCUGUUCAGAGUAGCGGAACAAAAUCUAAAAUCCUCAAAAUUCAAUUUCCAAAUAACUUCCAAAUAUCAAAUGAUCCAAAUGAACAUAACUAACAGUUAAACAAAAUCCAACAUAAAAUCCUAAGUCAAAUCCUAAUGAUGACCAUUCUUCAGCCUAGCCAUCACUCCUCACCCGAACUAAGAGUACCUGAAAAUUUUCAACAAAUGGGAAUGAGCUCACAGCCCAAUAAGGAAUAUUAAUGCAAUUCAUGGAUCAAAUAUUUUCAUUUCAAAUAGGAGAUAUCAAUUUUUUUUUUCUCAUCAAAUAUCAGAGUUCUAAAAAUACUAAUAUAUUCAAAAUUCAACCAACCAAUUUCAUAUCAAAUUCAAACACUUUCACAUAAGAUUCAAUCAAAUUCAUUCAAGUUUCAUUACUCUGGUUAUCAAAUAUCAAAUGCCCAAUUAGGUGGGACUUUUCAAAUGGGUGGCUAGCCUCAAAUUGUUCCUGGUGGACGGAACCAAACACUACUAGUACUAGUAACCUCUAACCAAACCCCUAGAGGCUGGGGUCCAAAUCAAUUACAUUCCCACCAUGAAAUGUAAAGGUCAACUAUUAUAUCUCGUUGACAGGGCCGAAUAGUCAACUAUUAUAUCCCGUUGACAAGGGCCAAAUAAACCAGAGUGAUGUUUUCGUUCAAGUAUUCAAAUUUACACAACAUAAUAUCUCCAUAUUUUGUGUCAUAAAUAAAACAAAAUAUUCCAACAUAACAUUUAGUGCAAAACAAUUUGAUCCAUGCAUGGUAACAAAAUAUCAUUUUCUUUUCCACAAUUCAAAAUAACAUAUAAGAUAAUUUAAUUUUAUAAAUAUUACAUUAACUUCCCUUACCUCAAAAGAAGUCCUUGAAAGCUUGGGAGAAGAAUAAUUCUGAAAAAAUAUAAUCUACUCUUCACCUAAUAUAACAUAAGAGAAACAAUUAUUACUAUUUAUUUAUAAUUUAACUAAUCUAUUCCUUAUUUAAAUAAAACUAAUAAAUUUCCAAUUUGUUUCUAAUAACACAUUACUAAUUUAAUUAAAUUACAAUUUUAUUUCAUUAUAAAAUUCUAUAUAUAUGUAUAUAUAUUUUUGCUAAAUCUCUCAUUCUAUUUAAAAAAAAUACCAUUAUUACUAUUAUCUUAUUCAUUAAUCUAAAACUAAAUAUUAUUAUUUUAAAUUAACCAAUUCAAAAGCCACUAAACCAUUACCUAGUUGUCUCGGGUACACCAAACCACCAAACCAAAAAGCAAGUUUUUUUUUUCCAUUGCCAUCAUCAUAUUCAUUAUAUAUAUAUAUAUAUAUAUAUAUAUUAAAGGCUUCCAUUUGCUUCCAGUACACGUACGCCCCCCAUUUUAUUUAUUUUUUAUUUUUUAUUUUCUUCCUUCCUUCCUUCCAGUGCUGUGCACACGCGUUCUCCUUUUUUUUUUUUUUUUUAUUUAACCCUAACCUAAAAUCGAAAUAUUCCAAGCAAUUUUUUUUUUUUUUUAAUAAAACUUAAGAUCUCCCAAAUUUCAAUACUAAAAUCAAAAUAUUAAAUUUUCACUAUUUGAUAUUAAAACGAAUUAAAAAAAUAAUCUAACCCUAAUCUAGAUUUGGGGUUUUCCAAAAGAAAUAUAUCUAAUGCGUUUGAAAUUAAUCAAUGAAUCUAAAAUAUUAAACUAGGGGUUAGAAUCUUACCUAUCUCUAUCUGUUCUUCAACCCUGAAAUCUGACUCCAACCUUACGUUCUCUGGAAUUCUGCGAACAGGAACUCUAUUUAGAAAAGAAGGGAAAUAAUAAAAUUUCUAAUUUAUACCUAAGGUAUUUAUUCGUAAAAUUACACUUUUACCCCUCUUUCACUUUAUUAAAUUAAUUAAUUAACUAAUUAAAUUAUUAAUAACAAUUUCCUAAAUUACCCUUAAAAGAAAAUGUCUGGGCGUUACAACAUGGUCUUCACUUGUAUCUUAAUUUCCAAUAAAGCAUGAGUUAUGCCUUGUUGACUGCAUGCAUACAUAUAAAAGGGAUUACCUGCGCCUAAAUGGCCAUGCAAUAGGUGGGGCCUGACCGAGGCAUAUUUCCAAUAUUGAUAGUACUGCACUUUGAUUUGUGCCAUACUAGCGACUUGCCAAGAACGUUUUUCUCCGAAGUGGUAGUCCUCAAUUUCCAAUAUAUAUAGUGCUCGAGUCCCAUGCAAAAUAAAAUAAGGUUGAAAGUAGUAUAAAGCAAAUUGAAACUAAACAUCAGAAUUAUGCAAUAAAUAAUAAAAAUGAAAAAAUAAAUAAAUAAAUAAAUAGAUAAAACAAAUAUAACCAUAAAUAUCACAUUUGCAAUUCAAUGAAUUUAGGAUGUUAAAUGAGCUCAAUGGAUAAUAAUAAAAAUAAAAAAUAAAAACAAUGUCAAAUUGGCAUAGACCAAACCAAAGCUCAUUGACAUUAAAAAACAAGCAACCAAACUUAGGAACUAACCUAACUGAACUAAGCUUAUAGGAACAUCUGAAUGGAACCUAUCCUCUAAGUGAGAUCUAAACUAAGCUCGAAAGGCAGCCAAAGGAUGACUACAUGUAAAAAGAGAAGUACAGGAAGACACUUAGUGUCACAUGUGCUAAGAGGACAAAAUGGAGAGCCUACAUGAGUGCAUUAUGAGUGUAUUGGUUCAUGGAUUUAAGUAAUUCAAUAGAGGUUGUAGUACACCACCUCUUAAUUGGAGGGAUGACUUGUCUUAGUCAUUGAGAUGAGUUUCCCAUGGUAAGUACACUAGUAUAUGUGAUGCACAUUAAAUAGGAUCUACGGUGAAUCAUGAUGCAAGACUAUCAAUUGUCAUAAUUCACCAAGCUACUAUACUGCAUAGAGUCUCAACCUAGAAAGGAUAUUGAGCUUGUGCCAAAAUCAACAAGAGACUUUGACUUGUGGGUGAGACCAUAAAGUGGUCAUAUAUCCUUAUGGAUUGAGUCACUAUUGAUGGAGGCCGAUUACAACAGAUAUUCUUAAUAGAGACACUAUGAUAUCUCAUGGGAUUGAGACAGUAUGUCCCAUUAGGUGAUCCAAAGGAUAUGUGAUCAUGAAAUUUGUAGUCACAAUAAUUCUUUUAGUGGAAUUUGACACAUACUCUUUGGAGUUAGAGUAUGUUAAUUGAUCACAUGAUAAGUAGGAUCUGUAACUCAAGGAUUUGAUAGGUGAUCUUGAUAGGUGAUAACACUGCCUUGCUAGAUUAUGGACACCAGUUCAUAGGGAGUUGCAUGCAGUGGAUAGUAGGUCAUGAACUCAAACUUUGUCUUAUUGUUAUUUACAUAAAGUGUGGAGUGUAGUUGUUUGUCUUUUGUGGAAUGUUGAAUCAACUUUGGAAUUAGAUUGUGAUGGAGCUAUCACUCCUUUGGGUCUCAGUGGUCCCUACUCUGAGCUCAUAUACUAUGAUGAUAAGGUUUAUGAGUGUUGGAUUGACUUUAGGUUAAUUCUUGUGCAUAAGGGGGUUUUAGUAAUUAUGCAAGGCUGUACAAAGAGAUAAUAAACGAGGUCUCUGGAUUAGGUUAAUUAAUAAAUUAGAUAGCCCUAUGUGGCUAAUUAAUCAUUUAGGACCCGUUUUGGGCUAGAUUAAAUGAUCAAGCCUUGAUGGGCUCAAGUCACUUAAGCCCAGUAGGAAACCCUAUAAAUACCCUUUCAUGGGUUAGGGUUUCUUAAUGACUUUUGGUGAGAGUUGACUUUUACCUCUAGAGAGAGCCAAGGUUUCCACCAUUUUGAAGCCUACAAUUUAGAGUGCUAAGAUUGUAGUUCUAGUUAUCCGUUGAAAGAUCUUAGGUGUAUAAGACCUCCAAACUAUUCAAAUAUGUUCUUCACCAUAAGAAAUUGAUUUGGGAACAUCCAUAUCCAUGUAUGAGGUUCAUAUAUCUAGAUCUAUAGUUAAUAAUGAUUUUUAUUACCAUUUUAUUUCAUUGUGAUAGAUUUACAGAUGCCUAGGGAUAGAUGCAUGCACCCUACAAGAUCUAGGGCAGGAGAAUGGAGUUUGAUGGGAACCCCAGAUUACUCUAUUCUCAUACCCUAGAUCGUGUAGGGUGCAUGCAAAUCUAUCAUAAGCUCUCUAAAUCUACUAUAAGAGAUAAACAGGUAUUCAAAAACAAUAUGAAUACCAUAAAAAACAUAGAUUUAGAAAAUAAAUCCAUAUACCUUUGAUUUGGAUAUUCUUGGAUCAAUUCCAAUUGAUGUAGAUAACUCCAAAGUCAUAAUGGUUCUCGAAAACACCAUGAUCUUCUGCUUGAUGACUCUUCCUUAUGUUUAAGGACUGAGAUGGUGGAGAUCUCAAAGGUGGAGGCUAGGGCUCUUUCUCUAGACUAAAGGGGAGAAUGACAAGAACUUUCCCUAAAGGGGUAUUUAUGGGCUUCCUAUUAGGUUAAGUGACUUAAGCCCACCAUAGGCUUGAGUUACUUAAUUUAGUUCAAAAAAGUUACUAAUUGAUUAAUUAACCAUCUAAGACCGUAAUUAAUCAAUUAGCCUAGUCCAGAGAUACCACUCACUUAUCCUUGUGCAACCUUGCAUAAUUACCAAAACACCUUUAUGCACAAAAGUGAACUAAAAACCCAUUCAACCCUCAUAAAAUAUGACAUCAAGGAAUAUGAGCUCAGAAUGGGAACCAUUGGGACCUAUAGGAGUUCUAGCUCCCUCGGAAUCAAAUUAUGAAAUUGACUCAACAUUCUACUAUAGAGAGUCAACUGCACUCCAGUACCCCAUAUAUAUUACACCGAGACACUAAGUGCUCAAGUCCGUGACCUACUAUCCACUGAAUCCAGACUCUCUAUGAGUUGAUGUCUGUAAUCUAAAAAAUUCGUGUUAUUACCUAUCAAGAUUACCACAAAUAAUUGAGUUAUAAAUUUCACUUAUUAUGUGAUCAAUUGACAUACUCUAGCUCCAAGGAGCAUAUGUCAAAUUCAACUAAAGGAAUUACUAUGACCACAAAUUUCAUAAUCACAUGUCCUUUGGAUCACCCAAGGGGACACAUUGUCUCAAUCCCAUGAGAUAUCAUGGUGCCUCUAUUGAGAAUACAUGUUGCCACUAGCCUCAAACAAUAGUGGUCCAAUCUAUAGGGCUAUAUGACUACUUUAGGGUCUCACUCAUAGGUCAAAGCCUCAUGUUGGUUUUGGCACAAGCCCAAUGUCCUCUCAAGGUUGAGAGUCCAUUUAGUAUAGUAACUUGGUGAAUCAUGAUAAUUGAUAGCCUUGCAUCAUGAUUCAUCAUAGGUCAUGUCUAGUGUGCAUCACAUACACUAGUGCGCUCAUUAUGGGAAACCCAUCCUGAUGACCAAGAUAAACCAUCAUUCCAAUUAGGAAGUGGUGCACUACAGUCUCUAUUGGAUUACCCGAAUCCAUGAAUCGACUGUGGACAACUUAUUUACUUACAAGGAACCCAUGACCUGUAUCUUCUGUAUAACUCCUAAUGCAUCCAAGUCAUAUACAAUGCAAAAGACAUAAGCUAAAUGCACAAAUCAAUGUCAAUAAACCAAAGGGAUAGUAAGGGGAUAGUUAAAUCUAAUUUGUUACAUCAUGUCUUGCUUUUUGGGGCUCAAUCCCAACAAAGGAAUCCAAGAUUCCCAACAAUUAUGCAUACUAUAAGCUAAGUGAUUUCACUUGUGAGGAGAUUUCUUGGGUAAGUUCUCUUUAGCUCUGGUUUUUGUGCUUAUUUUCAGUUCAUUUUCUUCCAUAUAUUAAUUCUAAAGAUGAUAUGUAGAUUGGGUGCAGAUAUUGAAGGUUGCACACUUGAUUGUUGGAUAUUUGUUCUUCAUCUAUGGAGCGUUUUUUUUUUCUUCACUUUGUUCAUCUUGAUCACUUAAGAACAUGCUUAAUCUCUUGAAUAAUUUUUAGUUUGGUUUUUUUUUUUUUGGGUAUUUUACCAUUUUGAAGCCUAUUGAUUAAAUCUUGACAUGAGACUUAUUUGGAUUUGAAAUCUAUGUUUUUAUUUUAGGGAUUUUAUUUUCCCCUUUAUUUUGAUAAUUUUUAAAGCUUUUUGACUGAUUUUAAAAUAAAAUUUCAGAGCCACAAAGUAUUUAUUUGUUUGUCAAUAAGAUUUUCUCUAGGAAAGACCCUUUACAGCCUCUUUUUGCCUUUUUGUGUUUUCUAUGCAAAUUUAGUAGUAAAACUCAUUUUCAAACCCCCUUUGGUAGAAUUUCAAACAUCUUUCAAUGGUCAAAUUUGUGGGCCAAGGUGAAGUCUCCUUCCAUAGUUUUGGUCUUACCAUCAUGUUUGAGAAAAUGAUAUUUGUUAUAUUUAUUUUUGUGAUUUUUGAAAAGUUUUUUCAAACUGAUUUUUCGAGGAUCAUUUUUAGCCCUUUUGAAUCCAUCCUCAUGGUCAUUUGGGGCUUAAUAUUAUGGUCAUUUUAAGGCUAAUAAUGGUUGCCACUAGUGCUUGGCAUACAUGACUUGAUUCCAUAUGGGAACAUAUCUCUCCAUGGAUGUUUUCAUGUACAUUCAACACUUUUCCCCAAACUUGAGUGUUAAUUUGGUCCUCCAUGCCUCUUAUGAGCCUAAACUCAUAGUCAUUUAAGGGUUGUGAGUGAAGCUCUGUAGUUGAACUAUAACUCACUUCCUUAACCCACAUUACUUAUUUUUCUAAAUUCUUGAUUUUAAGAUUUUCUUGAUUUUGAAAAUAUCGAUUAAUCUUUUAAAUAUUAAUUUAAUGAGAUUAUCUCUAGCCUCUAUGAGCCUUUUCCCAUGUUCAUUAGAGGUUGGGAUGUGGAUUAGUCAAUGAAAAAUAAUUUGUGCUUAUGGCAAAACCCACAUUCUUUGAUCUCUAAGUUUUGGUUUUUUGUUGUCCUGUUUUUUACACCCUUAUUGUUUUUAUAAAUUUGAACUUUUUGACUUAUUAUAAAGUAUUUUUGAGGUUUAGAUUGUGUUUUCUUGAAUGUCUCAAUUUUUUUUUUUUUUUGUUUUGUUAGAAACACCCUUUCCAAGCUUGUUGAAUAAAUUAGUUUUUCCAUAUGUCCAACUUCUGUCUUGUUUUUUUACCUUUGAAAUGUUUUUGCAAAUCAGUUCUAGCUUGUGGGUUUUUUUUUUAAUUAAUUUUGAGUUCUUUUUUUUUUUUUUGUGGGCUUUGGUUUUGCUAAAAAAAAUCAUUUGUUAAACUUGAAAUUUAAUUCAAUCAUUGCAUGCUUGCUAUUCUAGCCUAAUUUGGAGUUGUGAGAAGCUCUUUGAAAUAUGGACUACUUUGAGCACCUUUGAGCCCCUUAUGCUUUUGGGUUGUUUUCUAGAUACUUUGAAUAUGAUGUAGAAUUUUGUUUUUGAUUUUAUCUCAUUUCUAACAAUUUUAUUUAGAUUUAUUUUUGUAAAUACUUAUUUUCUGCCAUGUUUCUGCAUUAUUUGAAUAACUUGUAAAUUUAGUCCCUUUUGGUAUGUUUUUAGUUUUCUGUGACUCUUGAUUUGUAAUCUAGAGGUUUUAUACAUGUUAGACAAGCCUUCUCCUGUGGCAUGAUCACCCUUUUACUAUUUUAUUUGGAUUUAUUCUGUAACUACAUAUUUGCUAUCCUGUCCAAUUAUGAUCUCUUUGCAUAAUUCGUGCAUAUUGGUCCCCUUUGAUGCAAGUUUAGUCAUCUUUGACUCUUAACUUGAAUUUUAUAUAUGUUGUAUAUAAUGGGUAGCUCUUUCUUUGAUAUUAUAUCCUUUAUUUUGCAAAUGAACUAAUCCUUUCUUUCUAUAUAUGUAAGCGUUCUGACUUGUUUUAGGCACUUUUAAGGUACACUCUCAUUUUCCCUUGAUAUGUUUGAUUCCUUUGAUUUGUAUACUAUGCUUUGAUCUUUAUCUCUUUCAUCACCAUUGCCUUGUUGUGUAUUCAUAUUGUUGUCUCUUGGUUUAGUAAAGACCUCUUUAAAGGUUAAAGGGAUGUUACCUUAUGGUACAUUUCCAAUAAGUGACCUAAUCCCAUACUUGGACUUGAUUUUCAUAAACAUGUUUUUCCUUUAAAAAUAGUGACUUUAAGAUUUUAUUUUUUAUUUUUAUUUUCCCUUUAAAAAAAAUGUGACCACUCCAUUUUUUUUUAAAAUUAAAUUUUCACAUAAAAAACAAGUUUAACAAGUUUUAGCAAGUGAGAAUGUACGUAAAAAAAGUACAUAGAUAUAUUCCAUUUAUAACAAGAUUUAAAUAUUAUAAAAGUGUAGGAGAUGGGAAUCUCAACUAAGGAUAAAAAUAUCGGUAAUCACAGAUAUAUUGGUAGUUCAAUUUUACAGAUAUAUCGGAGAUAUAUCGGCGAAUAUUUUGAUACAAAAUAUCGAUUGACCUAAAAUUGAUCAAAACUUUUAAAAAUGUAAAAUAAAACUCUUAGAAAUAAAAUUAGAAGUACAAUAGAUAUCUUAAAAUUGUUUGUUGAAGAAAUUAAAAGUAUAUAUAUAUAUAUAUAAGUGUACAUUGAUUAUCAAAUUACAUCAAAUAUUAUUAGAUAAUAAUAUUGUGAUAUUUGAUUAUAAUAUGUUUAAUUUUAAAAUAUAUUUAAUAUUAAAAUUAUGAUAUAUUUAAUUUAAUUAUAUUAAAUGAUAUAAAAUAAAUGAUGAUAAAUGUAUAAUUUUUUAAUAUUUAAUUAAUAUAUUAAUAAUAUUAAAAAAAUUUUGUUACUCAAUUAAAUGAAUUUUUUUUUAUUUAAUUAUAAAAUAAUUAUAAUUAAUUUAUUGUUUAAAGUAUUGUUUUAAUAUUUUGUGUAUACGAAAACUUUUAAUAUAUAUACAUGUGAUGCAAAAUAAUUUACAAGGGCAAUCUGCCCCAAUGGUAAGGUGGGUGCUCUCGCAACAUUUCAACCCCCUCGGGUAGCAGGGCAAGAGCUCAUUUUUUUAGCUUUGCCAUGGUCAACGAGGAUCGUUGACCGCACAUAUUUAUGUGGGAAAUAUCGUUUCCACAUGACACAGAUAUUUUGGCGAAAUAUCCUGAUAUUUUAAUCAGUGAUCUCAACUCGUUAGGAUUCAAAUAUUAUAGAAAUUAUGGAGAUGGGAAUCUCAAUAAUUAGUAGAUAGUUAAAGGUAGCUUGGUCAAUGGGAAUCUCAAUAAAUGUCAUUGCCAAUUAAAAUUGAUAGACCUGCAGGUAUACCAGAUCUGGGACGUCGACGUCUUGAUCUGAUAUCAAUGGCAGAAGUGAAGCUCCUGGGGUUUUGGGCGAGCCCAUUCAGUGACAGAGUGAUAUGGGCUCUAAAACUGAAGGGUAUAAACUAUGAGUAUGUAGAAGAAGACCCUUACAACAAGACCCAACUGCUUUUACAGCAUAACCCAGUUCAUAAGAAGGUUCCUGUGCUUAUUCAUGCUGGCAAACCAAUUGCCGAGUCUUCCAUGAUCCUUGAAUACAUUGAAGAAACAUGGCCACAGAAUCCACUACUGCCUCAAGGUGCUUACGAGAGAGCCAUGGCUCGUUUUUGGAUCAAAUUUGGUGAAGAAAAGGUAAUUUAGGGUACACAACUUCUGUCUUACUAGGAUAGCUUGUAUUUUCUGGUUGACUUCUCCUUUUAGGUCUAUUAUUUUCUGGUUGACUUCUCCUUUUGGAUCUAUGUAAUUUUUGGACUUCAAACCUCUAGAUCUGUAGAUGGUCUGGAUGUCGGAAACGACAAAGCUGAAUGAAUAUCCUGGUUUGGUGUUCAACCAGUAUGAAAUGAAGACCAAUCAUACUGCAUGAUCAUGAUUCUAUUGAUUAGUAUAUUUGAUAUUGUCUAAACCUUACGCUCAUUCUAAGAAUAAUUGUUAAUGCCUCUUUCAGAUGGCCACCAUUUGUGCAGUCUUGAGAACUUCCGGAGCAGAACAAGAGAGGGCAACAAAAGAAGCGAUGGAACUGCUGAAAAUCUUAGAAGAGCAAGGUCUUGGGGACAAGAAGUUCUUUGGUGGGGAUGCCAUAGGACUGGCAGACAUAGCGUUUGGUUGGCUUGCUUACUUAUUUGGAGUCAUAGAAGAAGUAGCAGGUGUUAAAGUGCUGGAUGCAAACAGAUUACCUCGACUGCAUGCAUGGAUUGACAAUCUUAAGGAAGUUCCUGUGAUCAAAGAAAAUCUGCCCGACCGCCAGAAACUGUUGGGACACCUGAAACGCAGAAGGGAGACUCACCUCGCACUUCCAAAUUGUAAUAACUAGUAUGGAUUUCUAAUCUUUAAUUUGUUUCCUAUUUCCUUAGUAUGCGUUAACAUUAAUGGGAAGAAUCUUUUGUUUUUCAAAAAAUAUUCCACUGGACUAAUUAGAUUUUUGAAGAUAUGAAGUCUUGUUAUGCUAUGAUCUUCUAAAAGCUUAAGACUAUAUUUAGUUCCAAGAGAGUGAGAAAAAUAAAGUAUAGAGAAAAAGUAAAAGGAAAGAGAAAUCUAUAAGUUCAAAUUUUAAAAAAAUAUAUUUUUUUAUUUGGUUAUUCAUGAAAAAAAUUAAAAAGAAAUUAUUGAGGAAUACAAUUUUUUUUUUUUCCAAACAUUCCUCAAAAGCCUAAGGAAAAUUAGAAGGGAAUCUUUUAGCAUUUUACCUUCUAUUUAUCUUAGAAUUUUUCCCUCAUAUUUUUCAUCACAUCUAGCCUUAAGAAAGUCAAUUUUUUUUUAAUAUUAGUUUUCUUUCUUAGUACUUUAUAGCCUAAAGAGUUAGGUAGUGGGCCGUGAUUGACCAACAAUUAUUUGGGCUUGCACACUGCUUUAUUUGGGCUCAAGUUAAACAAGACUCUUAUAGACUCUUUUAAGUUAAUUGAGCCCAUUUGGUUGUGGGAUUUAAAAAUAAUUUUAUAAUAUUUAUAAAAAUAAAGAACUAGUUUUUAAAAAAUUUAUAAUGUUGUUUUACAGUUGUUUUCUAAAAACAAUAUUUAAAAGUGAAAUUGAAAUAAAUAAUACUUUUAAGAGAAUAAUAGAGAUUGCUUUCAUCUUAUUUUAAAGGCAUUCUAACACCAGAAGAUUUUCUUCAUCAAGCAAGUUAGUGUUGUCUACUUUAAUAAUUUCCGAAUUCCAAUUAGCUUCAAAUCUGUGGAUUCCAACAAGUUUGAAGUCCGUUAAAUUUCUUUAUAAAUAGAGACAUCAAGUUCAUCACAAGGCAAAGACGAGCAAGUAAGAAUUAGAAUUAUCAAGAGUGUUCUCCAAAAUUUUAUCUUUGCUUUUGUAAUCCCCCUUAUUUCAAAAAACUUUUCCUUUGUAAUAAAAUCCCUUUGUUGUCAACAAGUUAGUUUGAUAUAAACUUUCUUGUAAUCAUGAUAUAAUUUCAAUAUAAAGUUUUAUUUCAAAUUUAAUUUUUGUGUUCUUGUGUUAACUUUCUAUAUUUAUUUUAAUCACUUUCUCAAUUACAUGUACUUUAUGAAUUUUAUUUAAUUUUUCUAAUUUUUUUAUUAGGUAAAUAAAUUCUAAAGAAAGAGAUACUUAAAAUAACAUUUCCUAUUUUUUUUUUUUUUUAAAUAAGUUGAAUCUCAAAAACUAAUCCAAUUGGUACUAAAAAUUCACAAAACUUAAAAAAUAAAAAUCCAAUUUAACCAAUUUUGGUUUAUUAUAUUUCAGUACUAAUUGAACUUAUUUAUGAAUUUCAAACUAUUUUUAAAAAUUGUUGGACUCUCGUUAAUAAAUCCACACAUUAAGUGUUAAGUCUUGCUUGAUUCAAAAUCUAUUUAUAUAAUGAAAAAAUUAUGGUUAUUACAAUUCUAUAUAGAAGAGAAACAAUAGAGUGAAUUAAGAUUAAUUUUUGUUCAUAAAUUUUUAAUAUUAAUUUGAUUAGUAUUUGAAUUUCAAAAUAUUUUUAAAAAUUAUUAGACCCAUUAAUGAACUAAUGGAUAAAGUUUCACUUGAUUUAAAAGUUAUAUUUUCCUACUAAAAAAAUUAAAAUAUAUAGUAAUGUGUAAAGAAAAAACCAGCAAAGUCAUUCAUUGGUGGUGAAUUUUUAAUAUUAAUAAGCCAUCAUCCUAUUAUUUCUCCUCUAUAUACAACUAUACUUUUCUAAAUUUCUCAUUAAGCAAAUAUAUUAUAAAUCAAGUAAUAUUAAAUUAAAUGAAACUUAAUGCUUUAAUUUUUUUUAAUGAAUCUACUAAUUUUUUUAAUAAUAAUUUAGAAUUAAAAAAAUUGAAUUAAUUACAGAUUUUUAUCAAAACUAAUGCAAAAUACUCUCACCAUAAUUGAGUAUUGAAUGUGUGCAUAUAAUGAAAAACUUGGCUUAUUUAUAUAUUAAAAAAAUAAACUUUGUUUAUUUUUAGAUUUAUUUUAAAAUGUAUAAUUAAUUAUCAAUAAUAAUAAUAAUAAUAAUAAUAUUUUUAACAAAAUGUAAUUAUGCCUUUAUAAAGACUUUAGUAUUUAUAUUUAUAAUAUAUACAAAUUAUAUAUUUUUAAUGAAAAAUAUAGUUUAUGAUUUUAUUAUAAUAUUAAUAUUCAUCUUUUACUAAAAACAAUUUUUAAAAAUUUAUUUAUUAUUACUAAAUUAUUAUUAUUAUUUUAAUAAGGUUCCAAUUAAAUUUAAUUAAUAUUAUAUAAAUAGAAUUUAUAAUUUUUCUAUAAAAUGAAAAAAUAAAUUAAAUUUUGAAACAACUAAAAUUAGUAGAUAUGAGAAUCAGGUAGAGUUUAAAAUUGGUCUUGUUAUAGAUAUAAGAAAACAAAGAAAUUUCACUAACACAAAGUAAAUGUAUAAUGGAUGAAAUUUGCAUUCUGCAAAAGAAAUCAGCGAUAUUCCUGAAACAGUUUGUCCAAAUCUGGAUGCUGUUACAUGCUUUUGUAAAAGAUACAAGAUGUAAAUAUAGAUGAGCUGGUAAGGACAUCAAACUCACGGAACAGUCCCAUCAUCGAGGCACAGUAGUAGAAGCUGUUAGACCAUUGACAGAAGAACUGCUACCACUUGCUAUUUCUUGGUUAUUGGCGAAUCUCCCCACAGAGAAGGCAGGUCGUUCAGGCUGUCGAAGGGUUAGGCUUUCGCUUCUUAACAUGAUAAUUACAGAUGACAUGGUUGGCCUGUCAAAUGCAUCUUCCUGGACACACAAUAACCCAAUAUGGUAGCAUCUCAAAAAUUCAUCUGGGCAACAUGAAUCACCCAAUAAUGGAUCCAUCAGCUCCAACCCUUUUCCUUCAUUCCAUAGUUGCCAUGCCUGCAUCAUCAUUUAGUGGGGGUUAGGCUAAGCAAUACGUUCAAUAGAGAUCUUGCUCAUCUCAAGUGAAAAAAGAAACCAAUAAUGUGAUAACAUGAUGCUAACAUGUUAUCACAUUUUUUCAUUUGGAGAUUAUACUGCAACUACCCUAAAUAAACUUACAUAUGAUAGGAGGCUUAGACCCAUUCCAGAGAGAUGGAAACCAGCAUUCUUUCUCCCAGUUAUGAUCUCAAGCAAGACAACUCCAAAACUGAAAACAUCAGACUUAUUGGAGUAUAGCCCUUCCAUAGCAUACUCUGGAGCCAUGUAUCCACUGUCAAGGAUUAAGGGGAAAUAUAAGUUCAGUAAAAGUUGAAAUACAACAAUAUAUACAGAACACAUUUUUGAAAAUUAAAAGAAUGUACUUACUAUGAUCCCACUAUUUUAGCAGUGUUAGUUCCAUUCUCACUUCCUGCAAAGAUCCUUGCCAACCCGAAGUCCGAUAUCUUCGGAUUCAUGUCACCAUCCAAUAAAAUAUUGCUAGGCUUUAAGUCCCUAUGGAUGAUCCUAAGGCGAGAAUCCUCAUGCAAAUAUGAAAUGCCCCGAGCAAUUCCAUUAAUGAUGCUAAAUCGUGUUUUCCAAUCUAGUUCCAAACCUCUAGUUGAAUCUGAUAAUCAUGAAGAAACCAAAUUCAAGUCAAGUAUCAUAUGUUUCUGAUAUUGUUCCUCUUCCAAGCAUCUAGACUAGCAACGCAUUCAAAAUUAAUUGGCCAUACCAAAAAGGAAGAAAUCUAAGCUUUUGUUGGGCAUAUAUUCAUAAAUGAGCAACAAUUCAUUUCCCUCUAAGCAGCAACCCAAGAGUCUCACAAGGUUUCUAUGUUGUAGUUUGGCAAUCAGAAUAACUUCAUUCUUGAACUCCUGUAAUCCUUGGCCAGAAGUGCUGGAAAGCCUCUUAACAGCAAUUUCCUUUCCAUCUGACAAUGUCCCCUGCAAGCAAUUUUUGGUCCAUGGACCAUUCCACAAGAAGAAAAGCAAAAUGCCCAUCUUAAGACUGCAUUAAUUUUCUAAAACACAGCAUGUUCCCCUCCCUAUCUGGGAGUGGCAGUGACUGAUGGCUACUUGAAAAAUCGACUGUCAACAGCAUGAUUACCUUAUAAACUGGGCCGAACCCACCUUCCCCGAGCUUGUUGUCAUUAGAGAAAUGCUGUGUAGCUUCGUACACGAUAUCAAACCCAAUCACAGGAAACUCCUUCGAUUUCGCUAGCAUAUCUCCUUGUAAAGUUUCACUUGAGUAGUCUUCAGCGUCUAGUCGUCCUCCUCCCAGGUCAAGUAAACAAAGAUCUCCCUUACUUUCUUUCUCCUCUGCAGAACAUAGACUAAUUCACUCAACACAAUGAGAAGUAUUAGCAUAGUUGUGGCAUCAGCUGGUUAGCUAGGUACCUGGAUCUGCUCCCUUCCUUCUCCUAAUCACAUAGUAAACACAGAAAGCCACCACUACAAUUCCUGAUAAACUUGUGCCAGUAGCAAUCCAUUUUGUUUUCCUUCCUUUCCUUCCUAUAACAAAGCAUUUUUAUUUUAUUUUAUAAUUUAGUAAUAAUUAGUAUAUUUUAGGGAAGAUGAUAACCAUACCGCGUGGACUGAUGCUUGAGGGAACUUGAGCUUCAACAACGGGGUCCUCCACAGCCGCAAACGGGUAGACCUCGUACCUUAUGUAACAGCUUGGCGCAAGAACUCUUCCACCCUGCUUUCCUUCCAUGAAGUUGGGAAUAUAACCAACAACUUCAUCCAGGCAUCGGCGGCAGUAAGACAUUCGUAAAUCUCGUGUACACUGCACAAUACCGUACAAAUUGAGAAAAUUGGAGACUUCAACCUGGCCAAUUGCAUACAUGUCAUCAGAGGAAGUGGCUUGGGCAGUCAGAUUUUGGAACAUUUCACCCAAUUUCUGGUCAAAUUUAUCUGGGGCAGAGGCGUUUUGUGUAUUCCACAUAUAAAGAGUUGGCUUCAUCUCCAGAUUAGAGAAGAAAGAUCUGUUGGAAUAGCGCAGAAAACACUCGUUGUACCAUAUAAUUGCCUCCUUCUUGUGUUGGCAAACCUGUACAAUCUUCAAAGUGGCAGCAUCGAUGCAACUCUGGCAGAUAUGUUUAGAGACAUCGGGUCUACAGAGGAAGAGACCGUAGACUUUGUCUGGGUCUUCCCCUUCAUAUACCAUAGAAAAGGAUGAAAUGCCACCUUCAUUGUUAAGGGAUCGGCUGAGGAGGGCACCAAGGUUGCUCUGGAAUUUGGUACUACCAGCAUGGCUAUUAUUAUUGCAAAAUGUAUAGAGAAACCCAGGUUGGUAAUUGGCCGGAGUUUGGGACCAAGCAAGGGGUAGAGAGUAAAGAAAGAUACAGAGGAAGACAAUAACAACGGACAUCUGCUUUUGCCCUCUGGGAUAAAUCAAACUACCAACGGAUUGUUAAUUGGUUGGACGACAGUCUUACAAUCAUACAGACAACUGAACUUAUAAAUUCCGAGGAUAGGAAGGCUCGUUAGCCAAGGAGUGUUGAAGGUUUGUCAACGAAGGUGAUGGGAAUUUUCCAAAUACCAUCCCUUCUUUUCUUUACUUUUGAAUUUUUGCAGGAUUUCAUGACUCUCAACUUUUUUAAAAUAUGACCCUUGAAACUAUUUUCAAAUCAAGGCAUUUUCAUAAAAAUUCAAUUGAAAAUAGUCAUUUAACUUUAAUGAGAGAACUUCACUUGAAUUUUCUAGUUAUUUUUUAAAAACAUAUUUUCCUUUUUGGAUUAUAAUUGUCAAAUUGAUUUUACAAAUAUUUUGUAGAUUCCAAAAUGGUUUUAAAUAUUUUUUAAAACUACAAUUUUUUUUUCCUUAACAAAUCCCACAAAUCAAAAGACUUUAAUUUGAAGAUGCUUAGAAGCAGCAGCCCCUUGAUAAGAUCGUUGACUCCUUACAUGUAAUAGCCAAACCCAAUUUAAGGGUAAAAUCAUAGUUUAAAAAAUAAAUAAAUAAUUAAAUUAAUUUAAUAAGGAUAGAAACGUCUUUUCAUUUUUAAAAGUCUUAGGUAUAAAUUAUAUUUUGUCUAUAUUUUUUAUUCAAUAAAAAAAAUCUUUUUAUAUGGAGCUUAGAAAAAUAAAAAAGGCAUAAGAUUGAAAAUUUGGAAAUUUAUGAUAAAAGAUAAGUUUUUCAAUAAAAUUUUUAAUUCUUAAAUUAAUAUUUGAUAUUUGUUAAUUAGUUUUAAACACUUUAAAUAUUUUUUGGAAGAUCUCAAUUUAAAUUAAAAAAAUUAAAAAUUUAUUAAUAUGAAUAGAUUUAUUAAUAAAGAUUGAAAAAAAAUUAGAUAUUCAAAUUAAUUAGAAAAAAGAAAAGAAAACGUGUAGAUAUAUGUAUUGUGUGAAAAGAAAAUAAAAAAUGAUAAAAAUAAAUAUAAUGAGAGGCGUGCAGUGCAGUGGCUAUGUACAGUCGUGGGAUUAAAAAGAAAAAAAAAUGGAGGCAUGCGGUGUCGAUGAGUUGGAAAAAGUGUUUAUGUAAAUAUAUUAUUAUUAUAAUAAUAAUGGGAAGAAGUUGGCUGUUUUAUUUUUAUGGCUUUGUGUGUAUAAUAAAAAUACGAGGGUAAUGGGAUGGUUAUGUAAUUGAAUUUAAAAAUUAAUAAAAAUAAAAAUAUUUAGUUUUAAGCUAAUAAAUGAAUUAUUAGUAAUAAUAAUAGUUUAAUGCAAUAAAUAGAAAAAAAAAUGUAUUUUUGAGAAAUUUAGUUUAAAAAGAUAAUAUAAUAAAUUAAUAGAAUUUUGGGAAUAAAUUUUGGAAAAAACCCAAUUUUUAGAAGAAUUUGAAACCCCACGUGUUAAAUUGUUAUUGAUUAAAAAGUUAAAAAUAAUAUAUGUCAUAUAACAUAGAAAAUUAUUAGGAUUCUCAAACCUUUAAAUUUAGAUAAAUAGUUAAUAGUAAUAGUUGUCUUUUUUUUGUUAAGUUUGAAAUAGGUUCUUUGGGGUCAAAUUCUUCGGGAUUAAAUACUUCAAGGUUUUUGAGUAUUUUUUUGAGGUAAGGAAAAUUAAUACAAAUUUUAUAAAAUGAAAUAAUUUUCUUUUUAUAUUGUAUUUUGAAAAUGUGUAAAAAUAUUAUUUUUAUUUCUGCAUUGAUCAAAUAUAUGUUUUACAUGAAAAAUAUGUUUGAGCAUUUUUUUGUUUAACAAAAUAAAAAUUGUGGAGAUAUGAUAUUUUGUUUUGUAAGUUUGAAUUAAUGAAAUAAAGUAUUUGAUUUUAGUUUAUAUGACCUUAAUCAACGGGUUAUAAUAAUUGACAUUUUUGGUUUUAGUCAAUGAGUUAUACUGGCUGAUAUUAUAGAACCCUAGUAAAUGGAUUAUAAUUAUUGACCUUUGAUUUUAUUCACCUCAAAUGGAACAAAUUUGAAACUAAUCACUCAUUUAUACAGUCACAUUUAACUGCGUACCAUUUGUUAUACGAUAAUUAGAGUGAAAAUAUUUGAAAUGUGUUUGAUUUGGAUUGGAUGUGAAAUGAUUUUGAUAUAUAUGAAAAUGUUUGGUUAAACACUUUAAAAUGUAUUAGCAUAUUUGGACUCAAAUAUUUUUAUGAAAAUGAUUUACAUUAUAUCUCCUAUUUGUUGGCAUGAUUGAGGAAUUGGAGUAUAGUUACAUAUAUAUACACUAGAAAAAUGAAUCAAAAGAGAUGAAAGAGAAUUAUCUAACAUCAAAUUGUAAGAAAUAAUAAAGGGAUAUACAUUCAAGUUUACAACAAUAUGCUAAUUGUGAAUCAUGGAGGCAUAUUCUAUUAAGCUAAAAUUGAGGAAUUGGAUUUCGUUGACUUGGGGGUAUGUGAUGUGGCAAGGAUUUUGUCCUAGUAUGCUAGCCUUUCUCAAACCACACAAGAUUGCACAUAGGGAUUUAUGGGACUCUCCCCAAUUUGUAUAUCAUUAAUCACAAUAGAAUACAAGGAACUUGACUCACAAGGACUCCCACAUAAACACCAUAGUUCACUGAUCUUUUGAAGGCACACAGACCCUCUAUAUAUAUAGGGUGGCAACGACCAACAAUAUACAUCAAUUUUAUUCUAGUUUUGACCCUGAGAAUUAAUUGUUAUUGUUUUGAUGAAGCCUCAUGUGACUUAGCUUUUAAAACCUAUAUAAAGUUAGGAUAAAAAUAAUUUUAGUUGAUAUAUAUUAAUGGAUCUACCUAAUUGAUAAAACUCGCGAGAUCCACAUAUAUGGAGCAAAUUUCAAUGGAUGUUAUUAGUCAAAUUUAAUGUGAUAAAGGGUAGUUGCUAAUAAUUAAAGGAGAGGCCAGUGUUAGUGUAAUAAGUUUGUGCCAUUUUGGCAAUAUUGUUUUAACAAAUAAUUGGUAAUAUGAUUAGGUUGAAUGAGUGAUCCAUAGAGUGAGAAAGAGAAGUGCUUUAGGAAGGGUGAUCAACUCAUAACUACAUGAUAUGUAUUCAUUAAUCAUAGAAAAAACAUUCACAAGUUUUAUCUUUUAAAUCUUUAUCACACAGCUUUCUAUGUGACAACAAAGGAAGUUUUUUGAAAACUUGGUACAAAGUCUCCAUCCUCAUAAUUCGACUUGGAGGGGUUUAUUGAAUUAAACUCUCCCUAAAGCGUUUCAAGUGUGCCCACAAUUUCUGACGAUCAGGAAUUUUCUUUGAUCACUGGAACUUGCUUAAAAUUCUGAAUCCAUGCAUGUAAUCGAGGGAAUGUGUUGGAAUUCAGCAGUUUUGUGCCUACGGCUUCUUCUGUGCCCUCAAACCAGUAAGCCAGCCAACCAAAUGCUAUGUCCACCAGUCCUAUAGCUUCCCCUCCGAAAAACUUCUUCUCCCCAAGGCUUUGCUCUUCUAUGAUUUUCAGUAUUUCCACUGUUUCUUUUAUGGCCUUCUCUUGCUCUUCCCCGGCAGCGGAUUUAAAGAAUUGAAAAAAAGUGGCACUCUAGAAGAAAUUAAGCAACGAGUAUAUUUAGAAUGAACUGUUGAAAAACAAGAGUAAGGUGAUCUCAAAUAUCAAUAAAAAUUGUAGUUAUUAAAUUAAUUCAUCUUUCCCCUCCAAAUUCCUUACUGCAAAACCUAGACAGGGUGAGAGAAAUUUGAUAGAGUUAAAGAAUGCUUAAAAAGUAUCAUGACUUAUUUUGUCUGAUCACUUAAAUAAAAUUCUACAUAUAGCUUAGGAAUUU